UUCGUUCUUCUGUUGUUCUUCAUGGGGGCUUUAGAGGAGUUCUGUUGAAUCCUCAAUUGUUGCGAGUUAGGCUGACUUAGGCGUUUUUUAGCGAAGAAACUGCCUAAGGCCGCACGGAUUGCUUGUAAAAACUCCAAGUCUGUGACACUAGUGCAUGAAGGAGGCAGAAGAAAAAGAAGGAAAGGCAAGGGAGGAAGAAAU
rnacentral:lncRNA from 1 species